AUUGAACGCUGGCGGCAUGCUUUACACAUGCAAGUCGAACGGUAACAGGUUAAGCUGACGAGUGGCGAACGGGUGAGUAAUGCAUCGGAACGUGCCCGAUCGUGGGGGAUAACGCAGCGAAAGCUGCGCUAAUACCGCAUACGAUCUGAGGAUGAAAGCGGGGGACCGUAAGGCCUCGCGCGAUCGGAGCGGCCGAUGUCAGAUUAGGUAGUUGGUGGGGUAAAGGCCCACCAAGCCGACGAUCUGUAGCUGGUCUGAGAGGACGACCAGCCACACUGGGACUGCGCCACGGCCCAGACUCCUACGGGAGGCAGCAGUGGGGAAUUUUGGACAAUGGGCGAAAGCCUGAUCCAGCAAUGCCGCGUGCAGGAAGAAGGCCUUCGGGUUGUAAACUGCUUUUGUACGGAGCGAAAAGGUCCUUUCUAAUACAAGGGGCUCAUGACGGUACCGUAAGAAUAAGCACCGGCUAACUACGUGCCAGCCGCCGCAGUAACAC
rnacentral:rRNA from 1 species